UCUGACUGCCUUUUCUCUAAAAAAUACUUUCUCAGUUUCAUUGUCAAUGACCUAGCAAAGGUUAGCCAUAAAUCUUUUUCUCAGCAAGGAUGCUGAUAGUUUAAGAGCUUCUCUAAUAAGCAAGGAUGUAUUUCUGAGCUUAUAACCAAAACAGCAUGAUCUUAUCUUCUGAGAAGUAUUAAGAUAAAGCUUUCUAAAUCCAACAGAAUGCAUCAAAAAGAGGAACCGAUGUUACAGAAGACUUUGUGAUGUUUAAACAUCAAGAUUCAUUUAUGGAGCUAUUGUGCUAUACUGCAGUCUUGAAAGACAUCUGAAACUUAUGCAAACUUUCGGAUUUUGUCUUAAUCUAAGAGGUUCUGCCUCUAUCCAUUAACUUGACUCAGCAAACUGAAGAUGUUUGGCUGUCUUGCUGUGGUUACUGCUCAUAUUCACUCUUUCAUGGCAACUGCUGUUCUAUGAAAUGAAAAUAGAAUAAGAUGCUUUAACAUAAUUGCCAUUUUAGACAAGUUUGUUUUCCUUUUAUGUUUAAAAUUGAGAUUAUUUUAACGUUGUAUUUCUCCAUAAUCAUCAUGCCAAUAUGUGAUGUGUUUCUAUGGAAACAGAAGAAAGUAAUAGCUGAGUUCUAGGAAGUCUUGUUCAACUCAGUGACUAAAUCUAACACAAUUCCACUGUGAGUAGACAUAGAUCAAUUUGAAUCCUACCUGAAAAGUGUAAGAAGUUCUUGCUCAUUAAUUAUUUGAAGAGGAUAGAGAAAUACUUUCACUGUAAGGCUCUGGAGAAUUAAAUACCUAUUAAUUUUCAACCUGUGCCAUCCAAAAUACAAUGUUGUAUCUCAUGUUUCUGUUUAGAAUGUAAUUUAAAAUAAUAGAAUGAAAAAAAAAAAGAAGAAGAAAAGCAUAUUACAUAGCUUGUCAUGAUGAUAUGGCAAAGAAUAUUCUAAUUAUCUUGCUUAAGGAAAUCAAUUAGAUAGUUAUACAUAAGCCAGCGAGUAAAACCAACCUUCAUUAGCACCGUGCACUAAAAACCUUUGAAUAUAAAACCAGUAUCCCCCAAAUUAUACAGAAUGUUUAUCACUUUCAACAUUCACAUGAGAUAACACAAAUCUCGGUUCAACUAAAAUUAAAUAUAUGUAAGAGAUACAGGCUAGCUUUGUCUUUGUAGAUAAGAUAGUGGAGCUUAUUUGUUUGAAGAGUUUGCUUAUUUAAUUCUCUAAAAUGAUGAUACGUUUAGCAGGUUAAGGAUACUUGAAUCAAAACAUAUGGCUGCAGUUUUGUUUUCUUUAAAAAUUAAUUUGAAGUGUCAUUUCCUUGCUGAUCUCAAAUGCACAGAGACUAUGAUGAUCAAAAUCUUCCAUGAAUUUCAGAGUGCUUCAGAUGAACUUUUAACAAGUUCAGCUCCCUAAAGUGUUGAAGAAAAUGCACCUGUAAAGACUCUACAUUUCACUGCUUCCCACUUGUAUGCAUGAUUUAAUAAAAUAUGAUAUACAUCUUCA
ensembl:lncRNA